rnacentral:rRNA from 1 species
CAAGGAGUUUUCCGCAAUGGGCGAAAGCCUGACGGAGCAACGCCGCGUGUGGGAUGACGCCCUUCGGGGUGUAAACCACUUUUCUUGGGGACGAAGCAGUGACGGUACCCGAGGAAGAAGGCCCGGCUAACUACGUGCCAGCAGCCGCGGUAAUACGUAGGGGCCGAGCGUUGUCCGGAGUUACUGGGCGUAAAGCGCGCGCAGGCGGCUCGUCAAGCCUGACGUGAAAGCCCCCGGCUCAACCGGGGAGGGUCGUCGGGGACUGGCGGGCUUGAGGUCGGCAGGGGUUGGUGGAAUUCCCGGUGUAGUGGUGAAAUGCGUAGAGAUCGGGAGGAACACCCGUGGCGAAGGCGGCCAACUGGGCCGGACCUGACGCUGAGGCGCGAAGGCGUGGGGAGCGAACGGGAUUAGAAACCCGAGUAG